CCAGACUCCUACGGGAGGCAGCAGUGAGGAAUAUUGGUCAAUGGGCGCGAGCCUGAACCAGCCAAGUAGCGUGCAGGAUGACGGCCCUAUGGGUUGUAAACUGCUUUUGUAUGGGGAUAAAGUCAAUCACGUGUGAUUGUUUGCAGGUACCAUACGAAUAAGGACCGGCUAAUUCCGUGCCAGCAGCCGCGGUAAUACGGAAGGUCCGGGCGUUAUCCGGAUUUAUUGGGUUUAAAGGGAGCGUAGGCCGGAGAUUAAGUGUGUUGUGAAAUGUAGACGCUCAACGUCUGACUUGCAGCGCAUACUGGUUUCCUUGAGUACGCACAACGUUGGCGGAAUUCGUCGUGUAGCGGUGAAAUGCUUAGAUAUGACGAAGAACUCCGAUUGCGAAGGCAGCUGACGGGAGCGCAACUGACGCUUAAGCUCGAAGGUGCGGGUAUCGAACAGGAUUAGAUACCCUGGUAGUCCGCACAGUAAACGAUGGAUGCCCGCUGUUGGUACCUGGUAUCAGCGGCUAAGCGAAAGCAUUAAGCAUCCCACCUGGGGAGUACGCCGGCAACGGUGAAACUCAAAGGAAUUGACGGGGGCCCGCACAAGAAGGGC
rnacentral:rRNA from 1 species